GCCAGCAAAACGGAGGGCACGCUGACUCACACUGCACCAACACGCUCCCCGCCAACCUGUGCUCUGCCGCACCGCCCGCCGGUACCAGUGCCAAAACCACGGUCUUGCUUGCUUCCCACCGUAUCACGUCGUCUUCCUGCCCGGCCACACGCCGGUUGCGCGGUUUCCUGCAACCUAUAAGUUCUACCGGAGGACCUCGCUCUGCCCAUCUCAUAUCACUUCACUGCCACUACUAGUUCACUUCCUUCGGAUCUCGCUCGUGCCUCCAAGCUCUCUUCCACGGCCUCGAAGAUGUCGACGGUGACCCCUGCCUACCUCGACCAGAGGCUCACCGCCGCCAAGCGCUGCUCCAGAGAGGCUGCCAUAGCGGGAGCCAAGGCCGCGGCCGUCGCCACCGUCGCUGCCGCAGUCCCCACCCUGGCGAGGAGAGCAUUUGGGUGCUCUAGCUCACCUCCUAUGCACACGAGGUGUUCGAUGAAAUGCCCAAGCCACGCUAGUUAAGUUUUCUCCUCUCG